ACAAGGAGACAGGUGGUGGCAUGGUUGUCGUCAGCUCGUGUCGUGAGAUGUUGGUUAAGUCCCGCAACGAGCGCAACCCUUAUCCCCAGUUGCCAUCAGGUAAAGCUGGGAACUCUGGGGAGACUGCCGGUGAUAAACCGGAGGAAGCGGGGAUGACGUCAAGUCCUCAUGGCCCUUACAUCCCGGGCUACACACGUGCUACAAUGGCAGGUACAGAGGGCUGCAAAGCCGCGAGGUAGAGCGAAUCCCAGAAAACCUGUCUCAGUCCGGAUUGAAGUCUGCAACUCGACUUCAUGAAGGCGGAAUCGCUAGUAACCGCGAAUCAGCAGGUCGCGGUGAAUACGUUCCCGGGCCUU
rnacentral:rRNA from 1 species